GACGAACGCUGGCGGCGUGCUUAACACAUGCAAGUCGAACGGAAAGGCCCUGCUUUUGUGGGGUGCUCGAGUGGCGAACGGGUGAGUAACACGUGAGUAACCUGCCCUUGACUUUGGGAUAACUUCAGGAAACUGGGGCUAAUACCGGAUAGGAGCUCCUGCUGCAUGGUGGGGGUUGGAAAGUUUCGGCGGUUGGGGAUGGACUCGCGGCUUAUCAGCUUGUUGGUGGGGUAGUGGCUUACAAAGGCUUUGACGGGUAGCCGGCCUGAGAGGGUGAACGGCCACAUUGGGACUGAGAGACGGCCCAGAGUGCUACGGGAGGCAGCAGUGGGGAAUAUUGCACAAUGGGCGGAAGCCUGAUGCAGCAACGCCGCGUGCGGGAUGACGGCCUUCGGGGUAUAAACCGCUUUCGCCUGUGACGAAGCGUGAGUGACGGUAAUGGGUAAAGAAGCACCGGCUAACUACGUG
rnacentral:rRNA from 1 species